AGCGAGGUGGGGUAGUUUGGUAAUCCCAUCAGGCUCAUAACCUGAAGAUCAUUGGUUCAAAUCCAAUCCUCGCUA
rnacentral:tRNA from 1 species